rnacentral:rRNA from 1 species
AUUGUAAAGCACUUUCGACGGGGACGAUGAUGACGGUACCCGUAGAAGAAGCCCCGGCUAACUUCGUGCCAGCAGCCGCGGUAAUACGAAGGGGGCUAGCGUUGCUCGGAAUGACUGGGCGUAAAGGGCGCGUAGGCGGCGGCGUAAGUCAGAUGUGAAAUUCCUGGGCUUAACCUGGGGGCUGCAUUUGAGACUGCGUUGCUAGAGGAUGGAAGAGGCUCGUGGAAUUCCCAGUGUAGAGGUGAAAUUCGUAGAUAUUGGGAAGAACACCGGUGGCGAAGGCGGCGAGCUGGUCCAUUACUGACGCUGAGGCGCGAUAGCGUGGGGAGCAAACAGGAUUAGAUACCCUGGUAGUCCACGCCGUAAACGAUGUGUGCUGGAUGUUGGGGUUCAUAGAACUUCAGUGUCGUAGCUAACGCGAUAAGCACA